GAUGAACGCUAGCGGCAGGCCUAACACAUGCAAGUCGAGGGGUAGGGUUAGCUUGCUAACUUGAGACCGGCGCACGGGUGCGUAACGCGUAUGCAAUCUACCUUGUACAGGGGGAUAGCCCAGAGAAAUUUGGAUUAAUACCCCAUGGUGUUAUGAUGUGGCAUCACAUUAUAACUAAAGUUCCAACGGUACAAGAUGAGCAUGCGUCCCAUUAGCUAGUUGGUGUGGUAACGGCAUACCAAGGCAAUGAUGGGUAGGGGUCCUGAGAGGGAGAUCCCCCACACUGGUACUGAGACACGGAUCAGACUCCGACGGGAGGCAGCAGUGAGGAAUAUUGGUCAAUGGGCGCAAGCCUGAACCAGCCAUGCCGCGUGCAGGAUGACGGUCCUAUGGAUUGUAAACUGCUUUUAUACGGGAAGAAACACUCCUACGUGUAGGAACUUGACGGUACCUAACCAGAAAGCCACGGCUAACUACGUGCCAGCAGCCGCCGCAG
rnacentral:rRNA from 1 species